AGUGAACGCUGGCGGCGCGCUUAACACAUGCAAGUCGAACGAGAACGGGAUAUAGCUUGCUAUAUUUGUCAGCUAAGUGGCGCACGGGUGAGUAAUGUAUAGAUAACCUGCCCUCUAGAAAGGAAUAACAGUUGGAAACGACUGCUAAUGCCCUAUAUGCCUUUAAUACAUAAGUAUGCAAGGGAAACGCUUUAGUGCUAGAGGAUGGGUCUGUAUGGUAUCAGCUUGUUGGUGAGGUAAUGGCUCACCAAGGCUAUGACGCCUAACUGGUUUGAGAGGAUGAUCAGUCACGCUGGAACUGAGACACGGUCCAGACUCCUACGGGAGGCAGCAGUGGGGAAUAUUGCACAAUGGACGAAAGUCUGAUGCAGCAACGCCGCGUGGAGGAUGACACAUUUCGGUGCGUAAACUCCUUUUAUAUAGGAAGAUAAUGACGGUACUAUAUGAAUAAGCACCGGCUAACUCCGUGCCAGCCGCCGCCGUAAAAC
rnacentral:rRNA from 1 species